GCUUACGGCCAUACCAGCCUGGGUAUGCCCGAUCUCGUCUGAUCUCGGAAGCUAAGCAGGGUCGUGCCUGGUUAGUACUUGGAUGGGAGACCGCCUGGGAAUACCAGGUGCUGUAAGCA
rnacentral:rRNA from 1 species